AUGCGGCGGGGUCGGGGCGCGGGGCUGGCGGCGCUGGCCGCGGUGCUGCUCGUGGCUGUGGCCAGAGCUCAGGUACAGCAGGACCCAUUCCUGGAGACCACCGAGGGUACCGGAAUCAACAUCAACUGCUCGCAUCCCAAAAUCCAGAUCAAUGAUUAUAUCCACUGGUACCGUCAGCUGCCCGGCCGAGGACCCCAACCGCUUGCAGUCAUUUUGAAAAAUUCCAAAGAGCUGCCGGACAUCGGAGGAAAGCUGUGGGUGUCGGCAGACCGGAGCUGGAGCGCGCUGUGGCUCGGGCGGCCCCGGCGCGGGGACGCGGCCGUGUAUUACUGCGCGCUGGGGCCACGGGCAGAGGAGCCGGGGCUGCGGCCGGGCACGAACCGCCGCGGGCGGGGCCGGGCGGGGCCGGCAGGGGCCGCUCCUCUCCCGGCUGACGCUGCUGCGCGGCACCGGCACCGAGCCGUCCCUGGAACCACAGAAAUUACACAAUAUCUGCGAGGGAAUACAAUAAAUCUCCUAGAACUGACGAGCGUUUCAAAGGAUCAGAAAGUAGUGGAUAUGAGGAAAGAAGAAAACCACGCUGGGAGUGAGGGACCUGGGAGAGAGGCAUUUGUCCCAGGCCGAUGA